rnacentral:rRNA from 1 species
UACGAAGGGUGCAAGCGUUAAUCGGAAUUACUGGGCGUAAAGCGCACGUAGGCGGCUUGGUAAGUUAGAGGUGAAAGCCUGGAGCUCAACUCCAGAAUUGCCUUUAAGACUGCCGAGCUAGCAGGUGAGAGAGGUGAGUGGAAUUCCGAGUGUAGAGGUGAAAUUCGUAGAUAUUCGGAAGAACACCAGUGGCGAAGGCGGCUCACUGGCUCAUACUGGACGCUGAGGAGCGAAAGCGUGGGGAGCGAACAGG